rnacentral:rRNA from 1 species
CACGUAGGGUGCGAGCGUUGUCCGGAAUUAUUGGGCGUAAAGAGCUCGUAGGUGGUUUGUCGCGUUGUCCGUGAAAACUCACAACUCAAUUGUGGGCGUGCGGGCGAUACGGGCAGACUGGAGUACUGCAGGGGAGACUGGAAUUCCUGGUGUAGCGGUGGAAUGCGCAGAUAUCAGGAGGAACACCGGUGGCGAAGGCGGGUCUCUGGGCAGUAACUGACGCUGAGGAGCGAAAGCGUGGGGAGCGAACAGG